rnacentral:rRNA from 1 species
UACGGGGGGGGGCAAGCGUUGUUCGGAAUUACUGGGCGUAAAGGGUGCGUAGGCGGCUUUCUAAGUUGGAUGUGAAAACUAUGGGCUCAACCCAUAGCCUGCAUCCAAAACUGGAGAGCUUGGGUUCUAGAGGGGAAAGCGGAAUUCCUGGUGUAGCGGUGAAAUGCGUAGAUAUCAGGAGGAACACCGGUGGCGAAGGCGGCUUUCUGGACAGACACCGACGCUGAGGCACGAAAGCUAGGGGAGCAAACAGG